rnacentral:rRNA from 1 species
GCCUACGGCCACACCACCCUGAAAACACCUGAUCUAAUCUGAUCUUGGAAGCUAAGCAGGGUUGGUCUUGGUUAGUACUUGGAUGGGAGACCGCCUGGGAAUCCUGGCUGAUGUAGGCU